rnacentral:rRNA from 1 species
CCUACGGGAGGCAGCAGUGAGGAAUAUUGGUCAAUGGUCGGGAGACUGAACCAGCCAAGCCGCGUGAGGGAUGAAGGUACAGAGUAUCGUAAACCUCUUUUGUCAGGGCACAAAGGCGGGGACGUGUCCCCGGAUGAGUGUACCUGAAGAAAAAGCAUCGGCUAACUCCGUGCCAGCAGCCGCGGUAAUACGGAGGAUGCGAGCGUUAUCCGGAUUUAUUGGGUUUAAAGGGUGCGCAGGCGGUCUGUUAAGUCAGCGGUAAAAGCCCGGGGAUCAACCCCGGCCCGCCGUUGAAACUGGCAGUCUCGAGUUGGAGAGAAGUAUGCGGAAUGCGCGGUGUAGCGGUGAAAUGCAUAGAUAUCGCGCAGAACUCCGAUUGCGAAGGCAGCAUGCCGGCUCCACACUGACGCUGAGGCACGAAAGCGUGGGUAUCGAACAGGAUUAGAUACCCUUGUAGUC